rnacentral:rRNA from 1 species
UACGUAGGGUGCAAGCGUUAAUCGGAAUUACUGGGCGUAAAGCGUGCGUAGGCGGUUAUGUAAGUCAGGUGUGAAAUCCCCGGGCUUAACCUGGGAACUGCAUUUGUGACUGCAAGGCUGGAGUGCGGCAGAGGGGGAUGGAAUUCCGCGUGUAGCAGUGAAAUGCGUAGAUAUGCGGAGGAACACCGAUGGCGAAGGCAAUCCCCUGGGCCUGCACUGACGCUCAUGCACGAAAGCGUGGGGAGCAAACAGG